AGGCGCGACAGGUGGGCGGACACAGAAAGGCGACGCCUAGGGCUGUGUUGUCCCGGAAGUGCCUUCCCUUCUCCCGGGUCUGCGCGGACACGGCCUCCUUACCUCAUUUGUCCUCGCCCCUCCCCGUCCCUCUACGCGCUUUGGUCCCUGUUUGGUGCUUUCUGUUUGCAGCUACGGCAGUGAGUAUAUCUGGGCAUAGGAACCAAUCAGAAAUAAUCGCUUCAGCAAUCAAGACCAUUGUUCACCAUGGAGGAACCCAUGGAUACCUCUGAGCCUCUAUCUGCAUUACCGUUCACUGGGCAGCAGUCUUUUGAGCCAAGUGGCAAAUUUGGACAGUAUCCAUCCAAUGCAGAUGAACCACAUCCAGGCACUGGGGAGGUGGAGGACAUGGAACAGCUCAAUGUUUGAUCCAACACUUCCAUCUCAUUAAGACAAGUUUGAUUUUUCUUUGCUUUUUAUUUCACGGAAUACACGAGAAUCUCUUAACUGUUGGAGUUUCCAAGGAGGCAUACCUCGUGAUUUCAGUUGGUGGAAAGAACAAAACUAAAAUGCUGUAUGGCCAAAGUCACAAAGGGAAGGAUCCACAAUUUACAUCCUUGGAGCUAUUGUCUGUACCGUACUGUUGUGAUCUACUGAUUGGCAUUGGCAUAGUAGUAGGGGUCAAGUGACAGAAUCCGUGCCAACAGUCUCCAGGUUCAGAAGCGAUUCAAGACCUUAAUGAUAGCUCUCCAGCAACUAACACGUGGUGAUUGUGCCAACUUGUUGCUCAGUUAUAAUGCAGGGCCAGUGAUUGAUUGGCUUAAGUCAAGACCAUGGUUGAGAUCAUUUGUCUUUGGUCUAAUAGAAUUUGAGUCUAGUAGAAUUUGAGUCUCCAGGGAAAGAGCUACUUGACCAAAUUAAACUAGUAGCAGGUAGAGCGUGAAUGACAGCAUAUUAUACCAUCAAGAUGUUCUUAGAGCAGUGUAUGGAUGGAUCGAUUGUACUGCCAUCAGUUGUGACUGAUAUUGUUGUAUUCAAGGAAAAACAGAAACUUGUUUAGAAAGCACUUUGAAAGUUUUUUGAAUACGGCGGUGUCUUGUGUCACCCUGUUAUGGUUGAACUUUCUCCUUCAAAAUUACCAGACUUGGCAGCAGUGGCAAAUUAUUGGGCUAAAAGACUUAAUCAGACAUAUUCUGGGUUCAAGGCUCCUAAUAUAAUACCUGGUGCAAACAUUAUACUUCCACUCAUUCAGAUGGUUGCAUCCCGCCAGGCAUCCAGUGGGACUGGGAAUAUGGACACUUGAACAUUAAACAUCCUGAAGAAUUUUGGAAUGACAGGUUACAAGUGAACAUAAUCAGUUCUCUAUAUUAAAAAAAAAAAAAAGAUUUGGGGAUAGAUUGGGCUCACAUAAUCUUUAGAGAGAUUUUUUCAUUUUUGUGAAAGUACAGAAAUUCUCAACUGCUUAUGAAAUGCUGAUUGUUAAACAGCAUCCAUAGCUAUUUUGUGUUGUUUCCCUGACCCCACCCUGAAAAAAAGAAAAAUUAUGGCAUAUUGAAAACAGCAGUAUGAUGUAAGAGAAAAGAUCACAAACUCCUUGAGGGUGGGUCUUUUCCAUACUCAUAAGCCUACUUAUAAUAUUCAGAGUAAUUUAUUGACACAUAUUAAUAUUCCCUCCUAACCCAUUAAUUGCCAAAUCAUCAAACAUUUAUUGAGCAUCUACUCUGUGUAGGGUGUAAGCAGUACUGGGGACUUACAGUGAUAAAAGACAUAGUUUUAGCCUUAAGUGAUGUACUGUUUCACUGAAGAGACAGAAUAUAAGAAGCCAGGUAAUUUAUGGAAUUCUCUUCUUUUUUUUUUCUUUUUUUUUUUUUUGGCAGUGGAGUCUUGCUCUUUAAAUAGAGCAAGGCUAAUCUGGAACUCCUGGGCUCAUGUGGUCCUCCCGCCUUAGCUUUCAGAGUAGCUGGGACUACAGCUGUGAACACAGCUUGGAAAUCUCUUAACCGUGGGAGUUAAGUCUCAAAAUUCUGGUGAUACAAGUGGUUGAAACUUAAAACUUUAUUUAAAAAAUAGGAUUCGUGAAUUUGAGAUAGUUCAUAAGUCUGCAAAAGACUGUAUAAAUACAUAUUUUACAUUUACUAUUAUUAAAUUUGUAGUAAAUCGGAGUACAGCACUAUCUCUUUAUCUGUGGAAACUUCAGACUCUCCCCUAUUACUUUAAUUUCAGUGAGACGUUAUUAAAUAUAAAUGGGCUUACACAUUUGUUUUGCUUUACUGACAAAUAAUACACAACUUGGAGGCGUUUUUUUCCUUUCUAUUCUUCCUCCAAAUGUUCAACACUUCUCUGAUUUUGUGGUUUGAGGUUGUUGAUUAGCUUCCUGAGGCUCCAUUGAGACCGUAUAUACGUGACACUUAACAGUCUAGCCCUCCUCGGUACAUACAGAUAUAUGAUGGUGGCUUUGCCUGUAGUAAAUUCAUGCCAAAACAUAGGCUUUCAGUGCCUAUUACAUAUGGCUUUCAGCUCUCUCUACUGAGGGAUGUAGGACUUUAUUUCUAAGGUCUGAGCCUCUUUUCCUUUACUUCCUUUACUCUUUCCUAAGCCUUAUAAAAACUAUGCGUGUUCUAUUGUUUGUUUUCCUUUUUGAUUCCCUUUCUUUUAUUAUCCCCAGUAGGAGUGACUUGUAAUUCUCAUAUGUUAGAAAGGCAGAUCUCCUGGUUGAAGGAAAGAUCCACCCAAGGAAGUCAGCAUGUUUAAUAAUUUUUGAGGGGGAUCUCAAAUGUGGGAAGGAUUGUUAUAUAAGACAACCAAAUGAUGACAUGAGACAAUAAAUGCUAUAGGAAUUAUGGAGGAAUCAUUAGCUAUUUAUUUUCUUGGUUAGGGAAGAGAUAUUAUUAGUCGAAGUAAUUACUAACUCUUCUACAUUUUUUACUGUGGAAAUCAAAAAUAUAUAUAUGAAAAUAAAAUGUUAUAAUUGACUUCAGUGUCCCAUAAACCAGCUUCAACAAUUUCCAAAUUAUGACCAAUCUUGACACACAUGCACACGUGUCCCUCAGUAUCUGUGGGACAUUGGUUCUAGGACCACUCAUGGAUACCAACAUCAAUGGAUGCUCAAGUCCCUGAUAUAAAAUGGUGGAAUAUUUGCAUAUAACCUGUGUACAUCCCGUAUUAUUUAAAUCAUCUCUAGAUCACUUAUAAUACGUAAUACAAUGUAAAUGCCAUGUAAAUAACUGUUAUACUGUAUUAAGGAAUAACGACAAGAAAAAUGUACAUGUUCAGUAUGGAUGCAAUUUUUUUUGUGUGUGGAAUAUUUUCAUUCCAAGGUCAGUUGAACCCAUGGACAUAGGAGGCUGACUGCGUGUGUGUGUGUGGGUGUGUGUGUAUGUGUGUGUAUUCACAUACACACACACAUAUACGUAUAUUUCUGAAACGUAAAUAUUCUCUUUUUAAAAAAACUAUAUCAUUAUCACAGCUAAACAAAUUACCAGUAAUUCUUUUGUCCUCAUAUACCUGGUGUUCAGAUUUUCUAGAUUGGCUCCUAAUUUUUUUACAGAUUAUUUGAAUCUGAUUCAAUUCAUGUACUGUAAUGUUUGAUAACUUAAGUGUCCUUUAAUCUAUAGGUUCUCUUUUAUCUCUUCUUCUUUAUUAAAUUCCUUGUAAUUUGUUGUACUAAAUAGUCUUCUAGAAUUUCCUGUAGUCUGAAUUAUGUAGUAUUGUUUUAACAUGUUCCAGUGUCCUCUUAUUUCCUGUGAGUUGGUAGUUAGAUCUAGAAGCUUGAUUAAAUUCAGAUUUUCUCUCUUUAGAUCAUCAACUUGAUAGACAGUUUCAUUUGUUUCAUUUUGCUUUUGAUAUGUUGUUUUUUAGAAUUACCUCUUAAAAUUUUUAUUUAAUUUUAUAAUCAUGUAAAAUGUUUAUAAAUUUCCAAAUUCAGAUCAGCAAAACACAAUAAAAUCUAUUCAGAGAAGGCAAA